rnacentral:rRNA from 1 species
UACGGAGGAUGCAAGCGUUAUCCGGAAUGAUUGGGCGUAAAGCGUCCGCAGGUGGUUUUCCAAGUCUGCUGUUAAAGCGCGAGGCUUAACCUCGUACAGGCAGUGGAAACUGGAUGACUAGAGUAUGGUAGGGGUAGCGGGAAUUCCCAGUGUAGCGGUGAAAUUCGUAGAUAUUAGGAAGAACACCGGUGGCGAAGGCGGCCCACUGGUCCGGUACUGACGCUGAGGUGCGAAAGCGUGGGGAGCAAACAGG